UCACAAGUCACAGAUCAUCAUAACCGAAUACAACUGGAAAGUUGAACCGCAGAAGGUAAAGGUCCUGUAGGUGAAAUGAUGAGACGGACGGAUGGCACCAGAGUAGCACCGGACACGUGAAACCCGGUGUGAAGCAGGGAGGACCGCCUCCCAAGGCUAAAUACUACCUGUUGACCGAUAGAGAAUAGUACUGGAGGGAAAGGUGAAAAGAACCCCGGGAGGGGAGUGAAACAGAACCUGAAACCUUAUGCUUACAAGCAGAGGGAGCGCAAGUGACCUCGUACUUUUUGUAGAACGGGCCAACGAGUUGCGGUAUAUGGCAAGGUUAAGGUGUUAAGCACCGGAGCCGUAGCGAAAGCGAGUCUUAAAAGGGCCAGAGUCGUAUGCUGCAGACCCGAAACCGGGUGACCUAUCCAUGUGCAGGUUGAAGCGGGAGUAAAAUCUCGUGGAGGACCGAACCCAUAUCCGUUGAAAAGGGUUGGGAUGACGUGUGGAUAGCGGUGAAAUUCCAAUCGAACUCGGAGAUAGCUGGUUCUCCUCGAAAUAGCUUUAGGGCUAGCCUCGGAAUGAGAUACGCGGAGGUAGAGCACUGAAUAUCCUAGGGGCCUUCACCGGCUACCGAAGAUUAUCAAACUCCGAAUGCCGCAGUAUCAUGUCCGGGAGUCAGACUAUGUGAGAUAAGUUUCAUAGUCGAAAGGGAAACAGCCCAGACCAACAGCUAAGGUCCCAAAGUUCAGGUUAAGUGGAAAAGGAUGUGGAGCUGCAUAGACAACUAGGACGUUGGCUUAGAAGCAGCCACUCAUUUAAAGAGUGCGUAAUAGCUCACUAGUCGAGUGACUCUGCGCCGAAGAUAAACGGGGCUGAAACCUGACACCGAAGCUUUGGAUACAUUAUGUAUGGUAGAGGAGCAUCGUAUACGGGCAGAAGCGUGACCGUAAGGGAGCGUGGACUGUAUACGAGAGAGAAUGUUGGCAUGAGUAGCGAGAGGCAGGUGAGAAUCCUGCCCGCCGAAAAUCUGAGGAUUCCUGAGGAAGGUUCGUCCGCUCAGGGUAAGUCGGGACCUAAGCCGAGAACGAAAGUUGUAGGCGAUGGACAACAGGUUGAGAUUCCUGUACCACCGAGGAUCAUUUGAAUGAAGUGGGGACGCAGGAGGAUAGGCUGAGCGCGCCGUUGGUGGAGCGCGUCCAAGCACGGAGGGAGUUGGCCAGGCAAAUCCGGUCAGCGAGUUCCUGACGUGUGAUGGGGAGGGAAAACAAGUACCGAAGCAGCUGAUUUCACACUGCCAAGAAAAGCCGCUGGUGAGAUCCAAGGUGCCCGUACCGCAAACCGACACAGGUAGAUGAGGAGAGAAUCCUAAGGCGAGCGAGAGAACUAUUGUUAAGGAACUCGGCAAAAUGACCCCGUAACUUAGGGAGAAGGGGUGCUGCAGAAAUGCAGCCGCAGUGAAGAGGCCCAGGCGACUGUUUACCAAAAACACAGGUCUCUGCGAAAGCGAAAGCUGAAGUAUAGGGGCUGACGCCUGCCCGGUGCUGGAAGGUUAAGGGGAAGUGUCAGGGCGACCGAAGCAUUGAACUUAAGCCCCAGUAAACGGCGGCCGUAACUAUAACGGUCCUAAGGUAGCGAAAUUCCUUGUCGGGUAAGUUCCGACCCGCACGAAAGGCGUAACGAUCUGGGCACUGUCUCGACAAUAGACUCGGUGAAAUUGUAGUACCGGUAAAGAUGCCGGUUACCCGCAGCAGGACGGAAAGACCCCGUGGAGCUUUACUGCAGUUUGAUAUUGAGUUUCGGCAUUGCAUGUACAGGAUAGGUGGGAGACAGAGAAGUAUGCACGCCAGUGUGUAAUGAGUCGCCGUUGGGAUACCACCCUUGUAAUGUUGGAAUUCUAACCAGGGCCCGUGAACCGGGUCGGGGACAGUGUCAGA
rnacentral:rRNA from 1 species